rnacentral:tRNA from 1 species
GCGCCGGCGGGGCGCCUUCCCCGCCGCUCUCCUCGGCGGGCAGUUCCCGGCUGCUCCCCCAGACCUGUUCGAACCAGGCGACGGUGUU